CCGAGUUAGGGUCUUCUAGGCCCGACCUCCCAACCCUGUGUCUAUCCAACCUUUUGUUGCUUCGGCGAGCCCGUCCCCCCUGGGGACCGCCGGAGGGCCCCUAAAGUCCUCUGGCCCGCGCUCGCCGAUGGCCCCAACCCAAAACUCUUGAACCAAACAUGAAUUGUCUGAGUACCAUAUUUAAUAAAACA
rnacentral:misc_RNA from 2 species